AAACCAACGUGAGUAACCUGCCCCGAAGACUGGGAUAACGACCGGAAACGGUCGCUAAUACCGGAUACCCCCAUUGGAUCGCAUGGUCCGAUGAGGAAAUGAAUUUCGCUUCGGGAGGGGCUCGCGGGCUAUCAGCUUGUUGGUGGGGUAAUGGCCCACCAAGGCUGCAACGGCUAGCUGGUCUGAGAGGACGACCAGCCACACUGGGACUGAGACACGGCCCAG
rnacentral:rRNA from 1 species